UGAACUAUUUCCCAUAUUCACUAAAAUUCUUCAGAAUUUACUCUUCAGCUUUCUCCACUGGAACUGCUUUCUCUUCAACAGAUUCUGCUGCUGCUACUGGUUCCUCAGCUGCUGCAUCUGUGGUUUUCUCAGCCACUGCUUCUUCAGUUACUGGAGCUGAUUCAUCUGCUACAGGGACAGCUUUCUCUGUUUCUGGUUCCUCGACAGGGGCUGCUUCGAGUUCAGCCUCCGCGACAGGGGCUGCAACCUCUUCAACAGGAGCCGCAACUGGUUCCUCAGCUGCUGGCUCCUCUGUUUCUAUGGCUGCAGGUUCUGCUGCAGCCACAGGUUCUUCAGCAGCAGGGGCUGCUUCCUCAGCGGGAGCAGGCUCUUCUACUGGUGCUGCUGCUGAUUCGACGACGGAUUCGCUUUCUACAACUGGGGUUGGUUCCUCUACUUUGGUUUCCUCUGGGGUUGUUUUUACCUC
rnacentral:lncRNA from 1 species